GACGAACGCUGGCGGCGUGCCUAAUACAUGCAAGUAGAACGCACAGUUUAUACCGUAGCUUGCUACACCAUAAACUGUGAGUUGCGAACGGGUGAGUAACGCGUAGGUAACCUGCCUGGUAGCGGGGGAUAACUAUUGGAAACGAUAGCUAAUACCGCAUAAUAUUGAUUAUUGCAUGAUAAUUGAUUGAAAGAUGCUAUUGCAUCACUACCAGAUGGACCUGCGUUGUAUUAGCUAGUAGGUGAGGUAACGGCUCACCUAGGCGACGAUACAUAGCCGACCGGAGGGGGGGAUCGGCCCCCUGGGGACUGAGACACGGCCCAGACUCCCAGGGGAGGCAGCAGAGGGGAAUUUUCGGCAAUGGACGAAAGCCUGACCGAGCAACGCCGCGUGAGUGAAGAAGGUUUUCGGAUCGUAAAGCUCUUUUGUAAGGAAAGAACGGGUGUGGGGGUGGAAAGUGCCCACUGUGAGGGUAUUUAACAAGAAGGGGACGGUAACCUACGU
rnacentral:rRNA from 1 species